AACCUAUUAGCUCAAAUGGUAGAGCAAUGUGCAAUUGCAUAUGGAUGUAGGUUCAAAUCCUACAUAGGUCA
rfam:Spinacia oleracea cultivar SynViroflay scaffold73082.con0001.1, whole genome shotgun sequence.